AGCAGUCGCCGCGGUAAUACGUAGGUGGCAAGCGUUGUCCGGAAUUAUUGGGCGUAAAGCGCGCGCAGGCGGCUUCCCAAGUCCCUCUUAAAAGUACGGGGCUUAACCCCGUGAUGGGAAGGAAACUGGGAAGCUGGAGUAUCGGAGAGGAAAGUGGAAUUCCUAGUGUAGCGGUGAAAUGCGUAGAGAUUAGGAAGAACACCGGUGGCGAAGGCGACUUUCUGGACGAAAACUGACGCUGAGGCGCGAAAGCGUGGGGAGCAAACAGGAUUAGAGACCCCAGUAGUCCCUGUCUCUUAUACA
rnacentral:rRNA from 1 species